UACGUAGGGUGCGAGCGUUAUCCGGAGUUACUGGGCGUAAAGGGCGUGUAGGCGGUUUGUUAAGUCUGGCGUGAAAGCUCUCGGCUAAACCGGGAGAGGUCGUUGGAUACUGGCGAACUAGAGGAUGGUAGAGGCGUGUGGAAUUCCGGGUGUAGUGGUGAAAUGCGUAGAGAUCCGGAGGAACCCCAGUGGCGAAGGCGACACGCUGGGCCAUACCUGACGCUAAAGCGCGACAGCAUGGGGAGCAAACGGG
rnacentral:rRNA from 1 species